rnacentral:lncRNA from 13 species
GUUUAUUAAAGCGCAAGGUGGUGGGUGGAGGGCUCUGGAGUGUUUGAAUCCAGUUAGGACCCCCACUGCUGUAAAUUGAGACGUGUGAACUGCCUGCCGAAAGAGGAGCUGGCGUUUUCCUGGCUGGGCUCCAGGGGACAGGCUGUCAUCAGCUUCAGUGAACGAUCCCAGCUCCUUUCCCUUUGCUGGCUUCGUACUUAUUUUAGUCUGUUCUGCGUGCAUUUCGUAAAUAAGGUUCAAUCAAGGAGUGACCUGGCUUCUGCCUCAGCAAACAAAGCCUGGGUGACAUCGAGACUCUGUGUUAAAAAAAAAAAAUUGGAUUUUUUAAAUGAGAUGGAGUUUCACCAUGUUGGCCAGGAUGGUCUCGAUCUUCUGACCUUGUGAUCCGCCCACCUCAGCCUCCCAAAGUGCUGGGAUUACAGGUAUUAGCCAUCUCACCUGGCAUAACCCCCUAGGUUUUAAUGAAUGAAUGUGCCACUUCAAAGGGGGUGAUGAUGUAUGGUCCCAGCCUGGCUGCUGUCAGCUUCACUGUGUGGUUGUCAACUUACACUGCCAACUUCACCAGGAUUCUCCAGGGGCUAACACAGGCAUUAAAAGCACUCACUUGAUAUUCAAAUAUUCCCUUUU